rnacentral:sRNA from 1 species
UAGGGAAAUGGCAAAAGCUUCAGUAUUGAUUUCUUGUUUGAUAGUUUUAUUUCUGAUGACAGUAACAACAGAAUUUGCUGAUGCAUGCGACUUUAAGUGCAAGACUGCGAAUGACUGUGGAAAUUUACACUGCUUGUUCCCUUGCUGCCUCUGCAAAAAGAAAUGCGAAAACAAUUGCUGCCUUUGUGAUUGUAUGCCAAAACCUAGUCAAAAUGUGUUGACCAACA